ACUUUGCCCCCUCCUCGAAGCGUGCCCCAAAAGACCUGGCACCAGCCGCCCAGAGUCCGCUGUCCAGCUCUGCCGGCGCCCCCAGCACCACCCCCAUCCCGGGGCGGGAGACCCCUGGGCCACCUUCACCGGUGGACCCGGGGCCACGUCUUGGGAUGGGGCGGGCGCCAGGCUGGGGAGUCGGGCGGGCGCCCAGCAGGUCUCAGUGUCGGCUUGCGGAGUUUGGCUUUACCAGCGCCUCGCCAGGAAUAUGGGACCCACCUGGCCCCUCCAACCUGAACUUGGAACUUGGGAACCAAUAGAGGGGGCUCCUUCACCUUUCUGCGGAGGUGGCUCCCCACCUGAGGCAGGGAACGCUAGCCUCCGCCAGCUCCGGCUAGGUCAGGGGCCCGAGUAGCUGGAAACCCUGAUUUCGCCUCCACCCUGGCCCCUUUCUUGGGCAACACCCCCUCCACCAUCAGAUUUGCCUUCCAGUUCUCUGAAUGACUGCCUGAGGGAAGUAACCCAGGCUGGGCAGGAAGGGGUUAACGGGGCUACCCGACACCGUGGAGAGCCAGGUAGCUCUCUGGCCCAGUGGAAAAAUGGCAUCCCUGGAUUGUGGACAAAUCCCCGAGACCGGCGUAGUCCCAGUCCCAGCCAGGCCUCAAACCUGCUCUGUGACUUCGAGCAAGCUGAUGGACCUUCCUGGGGCUCAUGUUCCCCAUCUGUCAAGACCCAUAACCAAUUCUAACGGCUAGGGCAUUUGGAACUUGAAGUCCCAGAUUAGGAGAUGGUUUUACAAGACAUACCUCUGAGGUGAGAGAAGAAGCCUAACGUUCCAAUCUUUUUGGCAGAAUCUCAUGGCCUCGGGACCACAUCUGCUUCAUCUGCUGGGACUGGGGUCCUGCCUCAUGGGGUGCCUACACCCUGGCAUUAUGCUGGAUCCCGCGGAAGUUGCAGGAUAUGAAACCUGAAUAUAUUCUGGGAUCCCGUGACCCAAAUAAUUUCCCACCACCAAAAAUCAUUUCAAAAAGGAAUCCCAACGUUUAGUUGUAUCUCCUGAUGAUCCAAUUUGUAACCUGCGGCACCACUUGUUAAAAUUCCCUUUCCUCUUCUAUUCCGCACACCUUGUAGCGGCUGACUCACUCUCCACCCGGCUCUGUCCUCUGUAGUCCACACAGCUCUCAUCCCCUUAUCAUAUGGACUGGCCUAGCCUGUCAGGCUUCAUUAUUUUCCUUUUCCUUUCACCCGUUACCCAGAUUCUCCUUAACACACCAGAAAGCUGCCUGGCUCCUGCCUCUUGUCUCUCACCUGCUAUUCUCCCAGUUUUGUAUCACAAAAGCUCUGGAACUGAGCAAGCCAAGACAAGAUUUCCAACAACAGGUGAAGGAUAAAAUUAUCUUGGGGGUGAGGGGAGGGGAGACAGAGGGAGGCUGAGAAGAUGAAUCAGUGAUGAAUAAGUUUUGAUCCUGUAACAGAUACGACAGGCACCUGCCCUCAAGGAGCUCAUAAGGUAAAAAAAAAAAAAAAAAAAAU